GCCCCCGGCCCUGGGCCCCGCCGCACCACCGCCCACUGGAGCGUCAGGGUUGCAGGUGUGGCAUCCACCUGUGAGGACGGACUGCGCGCGCCCGGCCAGGAGGACUCGCGAGGCUUCCGAGCCAUUCAGUUGUAAUCCUAUCCUCCCUGUUGAUGAAAAUUGAUGACACACAUCUAAAUAUGAACAGCAGAAAAACUCGGGGCAAGAGCGAAGGCAACCAGAAGGCCUAAGAAAUGGGGAAAACUGGUCUCCAUAAACAUAAUCAGGAAUCAAAGCUUCUACUUUGAGAUAGAGAUGGUUACCGUGGUGGAGGGGCCGUGUUCAAACCACAGGUGUACAAGUCAGUGUUCUAGUCUGUGCAGCAUCCUCUCCACCGGCCUUCACGCGACCUUCAAGACAAGAUUCCGUGAUCUCCGGGAUGCUCAGGAACGUGUUUUGAAGAUCUGGGGCUUCCCCCAAAGCAGUCACUGAGCCUCGGCCUCCCCUGCUCGACCACCUACCCACUCGGCCUUCACGAUUGCACGCGAGAGGACACAGCUCUCUAACGCCUGCUCAGACAGGUCGGCAGGACUCACGCGGGGACAAUCCAGGCAAGAGCAAUCAGCUUUGGAGAUUCCAAAUAGGACGUGUGUAGAUCAGAGAGCAUUUCGUGUUUGGAUAACAGGUUAAAUCCUUACGGGAUGGUUGAAAAUCCUUUGUCAAAGGUGAACCGAUCAUAAAGGAACCAAUUCACUACCAGAAGAAGGUAGUAGAGUUGUAAAUACAGGAGAGAUCAGACCACAUCGUAAAUCUGACCUUCGGUGGAGUGCGCAUAAGCAAACCUGCGAAGCAGCAAGGAAACGGAAAAAAAGAGGAUCUGCCCAUUAAUUCGGGGCCUGUCACGCGGAGGUCAGGAGAGCGUGGCUGCCUCGGAGCCUCACGGCCUUGGCGGGGGAGGGGCCGUGCUGGGAUCCUUUCUGGCGCCUUGUUUUGCUGAAUCAGUAGCGCUCACUUCUGAGAAGGUCCCCAAAGAAUUUCCUUCAUAUUAGUUCCAUUUAUUUUCCCAAAGAUACAGAAGAAUGUCAAAACACCAGCAAUUAUUCUAAGGCCUAAAAGUCUCAAAUGACAGAUCUUGCUGCCACA